rnacentral:rRNA from 1 species
UACGGAGGGAGCUAGCGUUGUUCGGAAUUACUGGGCGUAAAGCGCACGUAGGCGGCUUUGUAAGUUAGAGGUGAAAGCCCGGAGCUCAACUCCGGAACUGCCUUUAAGACUGCAUCGCUUGAAUCCAGGAGAGGUGAGUGGAAUUCCGGAAGUGUAGAGGUGAAAUUCGUAGAUAUUCGGAAGGAACACCAGUGGCGAAGGCGGCUCACUGGACUGGGUAUUGACGCUGAGGUGGCGAAAGCGUGGGGAGCAAACAGG